rnacentral:rRNA from 1 species
ACUCCUACGGGAGGCAGCAGUGGGGAAUAUUGCACAAUGGGCGCAAGCCUGAUGCAGCAACGCCGCGUGAGCGAUGAAGGCCUUCGGGUCGUAAAGCUCUGUCCUCAAGGAAGAAUAAAUGACGGUACUUGAGGAGGAAGCCCCGGCUAACUACGUGCCAGCAGCCGCGGUAAUACGUAGGGGGCAAGCGUUAUCCGGAAUCACUGGGGCGUAAAGGGGUGCGUAGGCGGUUUUUCAAGUCAGAAGUGAAAGGCUAUGGCUCAACCAUAGUAAGCUUUUGAAACUGUUAAACUUGAGUGCAGGAGAGGAAAGUGGAAUUCCUAGUGUAGAGGUGAAAUUCGUAGAUAUUAGGAGGAACACCAGUGGCGAAGGCGACUUUCUGGACUGUAACUGACGCUGAGGCACGAAAGCGU